rnacentral:precursor_RNA from 10 species
AUGCCAUAGACAUUGUGGAUGUGAUGGAUGAGGGGCAUUCUUGGAAGACAGUCUGAGGCUGAAGAUUAAUUGACUUCCAAGAAUGCCCCUCAUCCAUCACAUUAGGAGAAACGAUUGGAUGA